GUCUAGGGCCAUACCACCCUGAACGCGCCCAAUCUCGUCUGUUCUCAGAAGCUAAGCAGGGUUGGGCCUGGUUAGUACUUGGAUGGGAGACUGUCCAGGAUUACUGGGUGCUGUAGGAU
ensembl:rRNA n-R5s209 nuclear encoded rRNA 5S 209